rnacentral:rRNA from 3 species
GAUAUGCCCAAAGGUACGGAAUAGCCUCUGGAAACGGAGAGUAAUACCGUAUGUGCCCUUCGGGGGAAAGAUUUAUCGCCUUUGGAUUAGCCCGCGUUAGAUUAGGUAGUUGGUGGGGUAAUGGCCUACCAAGCCUACGAUCUAUAGCUGGUUUUAGAGGAUGAUCAGCAACACUGGGACUGAGACACGGCCCAGACUCCUACGGGAGGCAGCAGUGGGGAAUCUUGGACAAUGGGGGCAACCCUGAUCCAGCCAUGCCGCGUGAGUGAUGAAGGCCUUAGGGUCGUAAAGCUCUUUCGCCUGUGAAGAUAAUGACGGUAGCAGGUAAAGAAACCCCGGCUAACUCCGUGCCAGCAGCCGCGGUAAUACGGAGGGGGUUAGCGUUGUUCGGAAUUACUGGGCGUAAAGCGCACGUAGGCGGAUCGGAAAGUUGGGGGUGAAAUCCCGGNGCUCAACCCCGGAACUGCCUCCAAAAUUAUCGGUCUUNAGUUCAAGAGAGGUGAGUGGAAAUCCGGAGUGNAGAGGUGUAAAUUCUUANAUAUUCAGGAUUAACACCGGAGGCGAAGGCUNCUCGCCUGGCUCCAUGCUGANACU